AGCAUUCCCUUGCACUCGUCCCAGGUGUCAGAGAGAUGCUGCUGCAGCAGGAGCUGGCGGUGCACAGAAGAUGGUGCAGGAAGAUGUUGGCUCUUUGCAAGGGCCCAGCUGCAUCACCACCAGGUUGCAUUGCCUCCACAGAAACUGCACUGUGCGUGCCGGACGGCUUGGGUGGUUCGGGGAGCAGGCUCCAUAAUUGCAGCGACUGCUGAGAUAACAAAGUCUGCUUUGAGACCACCACUACAGCCCCUGGGAAGCACUGAGCCCCCUCUGCAUCAGGAUGUGCUUUCUGCAGGACUACUGAGUGAGUCAAGAGCUAGAUUUGCCUUGCUCUGAACUGAACAAAUACAGCAAGGCACAGCCUGCUCCAAGCUUCUUUAGUACUGCCUUCACCAGGAAGCAGCAGCUGGGUCCAGCAAGGAUCUUGGAUUAUGGUCUCUAUGGAAAACGGGAGGAACCUCAAACCCUGCUUCAAGAUGGUUACCUGGCUGUUUACCAUCCUGCCAGAAAACAUGACAGCAGUCACCCAAAAGCCUCAGGAUACUGUCUGCUGUUUGUAAAAGUCAAUGCAUGCCUCCUGAGGCAAACAGCAGCUCUUGAAAUUAGAUGCUUGGUUUUACCCAAGUCCAUGAGCAGAGACAGCAAAAUUCACUGGUUUCAGUCUCUGGUGUGAUGGAAGACAGAUUCUAUCAGAAACAUCUCCAUGUCAUCCAGUUGGCCAAGACACCUACAGGUUAGUUUCUAAUUCAAUAAUGCAUGACCUCUUGAUUAGAACAUUUACAUAGUUUGUAACUAAAGAAGAAUCCUAAGGGAUCAGAUCUAAAACUUGCUGAAAUUUAUCUAUGUCUUUAGUUGGUUGCAGCAGACUUGAUGUCUUGAACAACUGUUAACGUGGAAUCCUCUGAAGUGAUGGUGUGAGUGCCUGUGCUUGUAAAAGACAGGUUGGACAAAGGUGUUGGGGUGAUAAAUCCUGAGGAGAAGUGAUGUGCAUUCUUUAGUUAAGUGGAAUUAACGAAGCAAUAGCAAAUUAUCUUACUCCAGGCAACUGCUAUUGUGUAAUCCUGCAAGUGGGUUUAAUUUGUAGCCUGAGACACGCUGCUAAAGGUUCAUCCCAUUAAACCUGGGGACUUAACUGUGGUAUCUAAGGUAGAGUGUCAUCACCCUUAACAGUGGAGAGAAAUAAGCAUGGCCAAGGGGUGAUCCAGAUCUCGCCCAAUGGCAGGGAGAUUGGAACAAGGUGGUCUUUAAGGUCCCCUCCAGCCUAAGCCAUUCUGUGAUUCUGUGAUCUUGGCUGUGUUACUGCCUUGGUGCGUGCUUUUUCUCUCUGGAUGUAGAGAGAGCUGAGGGAAGGGGCUGCUGUUUGGUGGGGACAGUCUGGAUCUACAGCUUGGAGGGAUGGAAACCUGAGAAGGUUCCAUCUUGGAUCUGCAACUUGGAGGGAACAGAACCUGAGAAGUGUUGCAGGCAUCGUUGCUGGCAGGAAUUCUCAGUGAAUUGCUGUGACUGGAAGGGUCAAGUUGCCUUUGGAUGGGUUUGGGGAGUUGUUUUAAGAUGAAAUCUGAUAGAUUUAUGGAAGGGAUUAUAUGACAAAACAGCAAUGCUUCG
ensembl:lncRNA